GUUCCUGAUCUUUGAAGUGUCUGCUUUCAAGUAGUCUGGAAGUCUGUGUGUCUGAUACAUUUUGUUGAAUCGACAACAAACGUUGCAUCGAUAUUUCAUUUCUUCGGAACAGGACCAGGACACAGAGAAGCGUCCACCGUUCUGCUGCGGCCUCAUUGACAGGCUGAAAGUACGAGGACUUAGGAGGAGGGAGUGACUUACGUUUCACAGACAGAGCAGUGGUGGCAGCGGUCAGGCUUCAGCACCUGGCAGCGGUCACAGAACCUGAUAGCUGGAGAUAAAAAGAUGGCCAGUUGAAUGAGCGACAUUUGAGCUAAGUUUACCCUUCGCUUACUUCCUGCUGAGUCAAACACAGUCUCUGCAAUCAGCACUAAUGAAAGAGAUGCCUUGGCUGAUUAUUCCUGACAUGGACGCCGUGCGGGGCCGAAAGCGAACUUGAUAACAACAUAAUAACAAGAGGGGGAGAUGUGAUCUUUCUACAAGGAAACUGGGCAGUUAUGUACUUGAACAAUAUGGAUGCAUUGUUCUACUUUAAUCAGUUGAACAGUGGCAUUUGUCCAUUGUUGCAACUGUUUUAGAAUGAUACAAGGAGCACGAUACCUCCAGACUGUGCACGGGUGAAGAUAGGAAGUUUCUUUGCGAUUUCAACCAGGAUUUGUUUCUGAGCAUCUGGUCUCUCCUCCAUCUCGUAUCUCUGCUUGUCUGAGUAGGACAGCUGGAACUUAAAAAAGAAAGACCCAUUUAAUACCAACAUUAAAUGAUAACACACUUUAACACUAACAAAAAGAAACUGAGGCAAUUCAGUUCCCAUCAGUUACAAUGCGUUUUCUUUUUUAUAAGUUUUACAUUUAGGCACACACUGAAUGUGGUUAAAGGGGAAAUCAAAGUCGUGAAUGACAUGCUUCAGUUAUGUAUAUCUUUCACACGUCACAUUCUACCUACUUUUUUGCAGGGAGUAGCGGGAGGAGUGAAGAUGGACUUCCAGUACGUCCAGGAAAACAUCACGAAGCAAAUGUGAAACACCAGCAGAUAAGCCACUGAAACCAAAGACGGAAAUCACUCAUGGAACACGUUUACACACGUGAACGAAUUGUAGAAUAGACGUGAUCGAACCUUUUUCCACGGUGUUGGUGAGCGUGACUGAAAAACAAUCACGAGACGACAUGAAUCGCAACAUUGAGGUUAUCUGGUUGAACUGGUUUGACUGAUCACAACAAAAACACCAGGAACGAGCUAACGCUAUCACCCGAAAAGACAAGUCGUUGCCCAGCUCUCUAAAUUAUGCUUUCAAUAAACAAGACAGGGAGACAGUUUUGGAAAUUUAACACUGAUGCCAUAGAAUAAACGAGCCUCCCCUGGACACUUCCGGCUGCCGAGCUAGCUACAUUCCGUCUAUGUUGUGCGGCAAACGAUCGCGACUACUACUUUCCCAGACAAAAUCACAGUACUUUCUACUUACACAGACAUAACUGGAACACAUAGGCGUAGUACGACCAAAGGACCACGGACGUGAUGAUGAGAACAGGUAUCCAAGAGAACACCCUUUGACAGCAUCUCAAACCUUUGGAGAGAGCCAUACUCCAGCUACUCUGGCUUCAUUUCAGGGAUCCGCUAGUAUUCCUGGGCUCCUGGAUCGAUGUUAUCGGAGAGCGAUUAACCACACUGCUGGAACGGCAGAAGAUCUGUUGAUGCUUCACUUCUUAUUAAAAUAACUGCAGUGGAUAUAAACUUAAUUUUUGACACUUAUAAAUACACUUUAGGACGAGGUAAAAUAUGAAGGACUGUGGUUCUUUGGAACACUUAAAAAACUACCAGCACCUCGUGAAAUGUACAUCGCAUCAAUCAAUCCAACAAAUAUAUUCAAACUGCAUUGGUCAAUACCAAAGGUACCAUAAAAGGUACCACUUCAGGUACUGACCAUUGCAAAAAGGGAGCGGUAGAGGACACAAUAUCAUGCAAUACCAGUUGCCAACUGGUAUUGUGAUUUACCUCAUAUUAAAUAGCAUAUUAUUAUGGCAACACACCUAGCGAACAAACGUUUUAUUCAGUAUAAAAUUACAGUUACCUCAAAUUACAUUAGAUAAUUUCAAUAAACUUGACGAUUUUUGUCCAUCCGUUUAUUGUUAUUAUUAUUAAUAAUAAUAAUAAUAACAAUAAUAAUAAUAAUAAUAAUAAUAAUAAUAAUAAUAAUAAUAAUAAUAAUAAUAAUAAUAAUAAUAAUAAUAAUAAUAAUUUAUUUUUUUUUUAUAAUAACGGAUUUUAUUUUGUACAAUGGAUGUUUUGCCUACUCCACACCAGCAGCGGAUCGUCCUGCAAAAUAAAUUGUCCACCUCCCUAACUAUAUGUCUGUAUUAAAGGAUUAUGUUUUUUAUUUUACAAACACCUGCAUUCCAUCAACCUGGAGCGUACUCCCUUGACACUUUGUAGCAUUCACCAAUAGGAGGCAGUGUGAGACCCUUAUAGCAUCGCUGGCUCGAUUCCGUGGAACCGAAGAACAAUAAAGCUGGAUUUAACGCACAAUUAAUGAAAAAGAAA